rnacentral:rRNA from 1 species
AACGAACGCUGGCGGCAUGCCUAACACAUGCAAGUCGAACGAGACCUUCGGGUCUAGUGGCGCACGGGUGCGUAACGCGUGGGAACCUGCCCUUAGGUUCGGAAUAACUCCCCGAAAGGGGUGCUAAUACCGGAUAAUGUCUUCGGACCAAAGAUUUAUCGCCUUUGGAUGGGCCCGCGUUGGAUUAGCUAGUUGGUAGGGUAAAAGCCUACCAAGGCGACGAUCCAUAGCUGGUCUGAGAGGAUGAUCGGCCACACUGGGACUAAGACACGGCCCAGACUCCUACGGGAGGCAGCAGUGGGGAAUAUUGGACAAUGGGCGAAAGCCUGAUCCAGCAAUGCCGCGUGAGUGAUGAAGGCCUUAGGGUUGUAAAGCUCUUUUACCCGGGAUGAUAAUGACAGUACCGGGAGAAUAAGCUCCGGCUAACUCCGUG